GACGAACGCUGGCGGCGUGCCUAAUACAUGCAAGUAGAACGCUGAAGCUUGGUGCUUGCACCGAGCGGAUGAGUUGCGCACGGGUGAGUAACGCGUAGGUAACCUGCCUGGUAGCGGGGGAUAACUAUUGGAAACGAUAGCUAAUACCGCAUAACAGUAGAUAUCGCAUGAUAGCUACUUGAAAGGUGCAAAUGCACCACUACCAGAUGGACCUGCGUUGUAUUAGCUAGUUGGUGAGGUAACGGCUCACCAAGGCAACGAUACAUAGCCGACCUGAGAGGGUGAUCGGCCACCCUGGGAAUGAGACACGGCCCAGACUCCUACGGGAGGCAGCAGUAGGGAAUCUUCGGCAAUGGACGGAAGUCUGACCGAGCAACGCCGCGGGAGUGAAGAAGGUUGUCGGAUCGUAAAGCUCGGUUGUAAGAGAAGAACGAGUGUGAGAGUGGAAAGUUCACACUGUGACGGUAGCUUACCAGAAAGGGACGGCUAACUACGUG
rnacentral:rRNA from 1 species